UUAAAAUAAGUGGAGGAAAUAGAAAUGCAUAUGUACUUGAGUGUCGCCUGUUACUUGUCUAAGCCAUUAAUUUACUUGAUUUGUAAUCAUAAGACCAGGUAUUACCAUGUCUGGCAUCUAUUUUCUGAUUUGUCAAUAUAGAUGGGUGGAGAACAAAGAGACUGAACGUACAUUAACAGUGGUAAUAUUUUGCGGUAAGAUUUGAAUACUGAAGCUAAUAUUUAGAUCUGACUUUUAGGCAAAUCUAGUGGACUAUAGCACAUUGCAAUUAGCCCCACCUGAAAGUGUGGAGGUGGGAUGUUUCCUAAUAAUUGAAAUUUCCCAACAAAGCUGCAUGCUGAUGAGAUGACCAUCAGCUCCUCUAACUGUAUAUAAGUGAAGCUCAACAUUCAGAUCAACACAACAACCUACUCAACCAUCUGCGAGACAGCCUGCUGACUUGAAGCAAGUGUUAACCAUGCUGAAGGUAGUGCUUGUACUUGGAUGCCUCUUGAGCCUCACCCUGGCUCACCCUAAGCCUGCACGCAAGCGGUUUCCUUGGUCAUGCUUGGGCUCUCACUCUAGCUCUGGCUCUGGCUCUGACUCCAACGAGCAAACCACCACCCAGUCAACAACAACCACAGCAGCAACAACAACCACAGCAGC